rnacentral:hammerhead_ribozyme from 1 species
AUCCAACUGAUGAGUCCCAAAUAGGACGAAACACGCGUCCUGGAU